UACGUAGGGGGCAAGCGUUGUCCGGAUUCAUUGGGCGUAAAGAGCUCGUAGGCGGUUCAGCAAGUCGGGUGUGAAACCUCCAGGCUCAACCUGGAGACGCCACCCGAUACUGCUGUGACUUGAGUCCGGUAGGGGACCACGGAAUACCUGGUGUAGCGGUGAAAUGCGCAGAUAUCAGGAGGAACACCGGUGGCGAAAGCGGCUCUCUGGACCGCAACUGACGCUGAGGCGCGAAAGCUAGGGGAGCAAACAGG
rnacentral:rRNA from 1 species